rnacentral:miRNA from 1 species
ACAUUGUCAGAUGUGUAUGUAUGUGUGUGUGGGUGUAUCUAUGUAUAUGUGUAUAUAUAUAUAUAUAUAUAUAUAUAUAUAUACACAUAUACAUAGAUACACCCACACACACAUACAUACACAUCUGACAAUGU